rnacentral:tRNA from 3 species
CGGGAUGUAAUUCAGCGGUCAGAAGCCUUGGUUUGGGGCCAAGGAGUCGUGGGUUCAAAUCCUACCAUCCCGACCA